AGAAAUAUGUCUGAUAAAAGAGUUACUUUGAUAGAGUAAAUUAUAAAGGUUUAAACCCUUUUAUUUCUA
rnacentral:tRNA from 1 species